rnacentral:rRNA from 1 species
UACGGGGGGGGCAAGCGUUGUUCGGAAUUACUGGGCGUAAAGGGCUCGUAGGCGGCCAACUAAGUCAUACGUGAAAUCCCUCGGCUUAACCGGGGAACUGCGUCUGAUACUGGAUGGCUUGAGUUCGGGAGAGGGAUGCGGAAUUCCAGGUGUAGCGGUGAAAUGCGUAGAUAUCUGGAGGAACACCGGUGGCGAAGGCGGCAUCCUGGACCGGUAUUGACACUGAAAAGCGAAAGCCAGGGGAGCAAACGGG